rnacentral:rRNA from 1 species
AACGAACGCUGGCGGCAUGCCUAACACAUGCAAGUCGAACGAGACCUUCGGGUCUAGUGGCGCACGGGUGCGUAACGCGCGGGAACCUGCCCUUAGGUUCGGAAUAACUCCCCGAAAGGGGUGCUAAUACCGGAUAAUGUCUUCGGACCAAAGAUUUAUCGCCUUUGGAUGGGCCCGCGUUGGAUUAGCUAGUUGGUAGGGUAAAAGCCUACCAAGGCGACGAUCCAUAGCUGGUCUGAGAGGAUGAUCAGCCACACUGGGACUGAGACACGGCCCAGACUCCUACGGGAGGCAGCAGUGGGGAAUAUUGGACAAUGGGCGAAAGGCUGAGCCAGCAAUGCCGCGUGAGUGAUGAAGGCCUUAGAGUUGUAAAGCUCUUUUACCCGGGAUGAUAAUGACAGUACCGGGAGAAUAAGCUCCGGCUAACUCCGUG